ACAGCAGCUUCCUGCAGCCCUCCCUCCUGUCUUGUUUCUCCCUUAAUUGAGAGGAGAGGCCAGAACCAGAUGCAGGCAGUUCCAACAGUAAUGAAUUGCUCUAAGGUGUGGAUCCAAGAACCGGUGACAAGGUCAGGAAAUUCCAUCCCGGGACACUGACCCAACUAAGAGACUGUGCAUGAUGGCUAAGUUCAGAGCUCUGAGGAGAUGGUAAAACUCAUUUGCAACGAAACAAGAUAUUUUCCAACUCUGCAGCCAGAAACCAUCCUCCUGGCUGUCUCACCAUCAGCGCCACCUCUCCGUGGGUCUGGAGUCUUGAGGAGCCAGGACUGGACUGGGAUGUAAGGUUGGGUCUUCCGAGCUGUAGAUGGGAGCAGGAAGAUGUAUCUCCAUUCACGAUCUCAGUACAAGGCUCAGCUAUCUCCCGGCAACUCGCCCAUCAUCUGUUUCUGAGUUCUUCUGACAUACAGGUUCUUUGGAGGCGGCAUCAAGAAAAUACAUUUGGACAAAUCCUUCAUCUCAAAUAUUUUCCCCUCAUGAAACCAAAGGCAUUGCUCCAAAGUCAUUUCCAUUAAUUAGACAUGCAUCUUGUAUGACUGAAGGAGAAUCUAGUCCACAAACUCUGGGUUAAUUUUCUCUUCUGACAUCUGUGUGUAGUGUUUCUCUGAGGAGCUGAAUUAUCUGCUCUCCAGUGCCUUCCUCUCGGUGUUUUUUGGCCAGGAGCAAGGAGACAGGCAGCUGCAUUCUGGGAGCAGCAAGCAAUUCUGAGAACUGGAGCUGCUUAGGUUCUUUCACUUCUGCUUCAAAGGAAUACGUUGAGUUUGCAGAGAAUGAAGGAGAGAAAGACUCCAAGUUCCAAGCAGGGUCUUGGGGUAGUCUCUGAGCAUCCCAAUGUACUUACUUCCUCCCCACAGCUUCCUCACUGGGCUCCCAGCCACCAGUAUUUGUCUCUUUAAUCCCCCAACACAGAGCUACUAGAUGGAUUUCUUUCUUUCUUUUUUGUUUCUUUCUUUCGAUCGAUUUCUCUUUCUUUCUUUCUUUCUCUUUCCUUCUUUCUUUUCUUUCCUUUUCUUUUCUUUCUUUCUUUUUCUUUCUUUUACAUCUUCCUUCCUUCCUUGCUUCCUUUCUCUCUCUUUUUCUUUCUUUUAUGGUUUUUUUUUUGUUGUUGUUGUUGUUGUUUUUAGACAGUCUUGCUCUGUCACCCAGGCUGGAGUGCAGUGGUGCAAUCUCGGCUCACUGAAGUCUCAACCUCCUAGGCUCAAACAGUCCUCCAACUUCAGCCUCCCAAGUAGCUGAGACUACAGAUCAGCAAUCUGGCUAAUUAAAAAAAAAUUUUUUUUAGAGAUGGGGUCUUACUAUGUUGCCCAGUCUGGUCUUGAACUCCUAGCCUCAAACAGUCAUCCUCCCUUAGCCUCCUAAAGUGCCGUGAUUAUAGGCGUGAGCCACCAUGCCCAGCUGGAUUUUUUCUUUUAACUGUAGUUUUAUCAUGUUCUUUUUGCUUAAAAUAAACUUUUCUGAAGUA
rnacentral:lncRNA from 1 species